GGGGGCUGCCUGGAGCGCUUCGGCGCACCCAGAACCCUUUGUGAACUUAUACCUAUUGUUGCCUCGGCGCAGGCCGGCCUCUUCACUGAGGCCCCCUGGAAACAGGGAGCAGCCCGCCGGCGGCCAACCAAACUCUUGUUUCUAUAGUGAAUCUCUGAGUAAAAAAACAUAAAUGAAUCAAAACUUUCAACAACGGAUCUCUUGGUUCUGGCAUCGAUGAAGAACGCAGCGAAAUGCGAUAAGUAAUGUGAAUUGCAGAAUUCAGUGAAUCAUCGAAUCUUUGAACGCACAUUGCGCCCUCUGGUAUUCCGGAGGGCAUGCCUGUUCGAGCGUCAUUUCAACCCUCAAGCCUGGCUUGGUGAUGGGGCACUGCCUGUAAUAGGGCAGGCCCUGAAAUCUAGUGGCGAGCUCGCCAGGACCCCGAGCGUAGUAGUUAUAUCUCGCUCUGGAAGGCCCUGGCGGUGCCCUGCCGUUAAACCCCCAACUUCUGAAAAUUUGACCUCGGAUCAGGUAGGAAUACCCGCUGAACUUAAGCAUAUCAAUAAGCGGAGGAA
rnacentral:rRNA from 1 species